AUUGAACGCUGGCGGCAGGCCUAACACAUGCAAGUCGAACGAGUGGCGGACGGGUGAGUAAUGUCUGGGAAACUGCCUGAUGGAGGGGGAUCACUACUGGAAACGGUAGCUAAUACCGCAUACCAUCAGAUGUGCCCAGGUGGGAUUAGCUAGUUGGUGGGGUAACGGCUCACCAAGGCGACGAUCCCUAGCUGGUCUGAGAGGAUGACCAGCCACACGGGGACUGGGACACGGGCCAGACUCCUACGGGAGGCAGCAGGGGGGAAUAUUGGAAAAUGGGGGAAAGCCUGAUGCAGCCAUGCCGCGUGUAUGAAGAAGGCCUUCGGGUUGUAAAGUACUUUCAGCGGAGAGGAGGUACCUGCAGAAGAAGCACCGGCUAACUCCGUGCCAGCAGCCGCGGUAAUUC
rnacentral:rRNA from 1 species